rnacentral:rRNA from 1 species
UACGGGGGGGGCAAGCGUUGUUCGGAAUUACUGGGCGUAAAGGGCUCGUAGGUUGCCAACUAAGUCAGACGUGAAAUCCCUCGGCUUAACCGGGGAACUGCGUCUGAUACUGGAUGGCUUGAGUUUGGGAGAGGGACGCGGAAUUCCAGGUGUAGCGGUGAAAUGCGUAGAUAUCUGGAGGAACACCGGUGGCGAAGGCGGUUCUCUGGGACGGUACUGACGCUGAGACGCGAAAGCGUGGGGAGCGAACAGG